UUAAAAUUUACCUAAUAAUAAAUUUACCUGCUAAAAUAUAUACAAAUUAAAUUACAAUAUCAAGUAUCCAUAGUGAAUAGACUGAACCAUGUCCAUAACUAGUAAAUAUUAUACUCUAGAGUCUAGAGGCAGAAGCCUCGGACAAUUCAAUAUAUAUGUUACACUUUCUACAAAUCUUUCACAGUGGAAAAUAAAAAUUCGUAGAUUGCCAGGAAGCAAUCUCUAUUUGAUAAAAUUUGCGGAAGAGAGCGUGGGAUAUUAUCUGAUGAUUUAUAAAUGCUAAGUAGAUGAUCAAUUAGUACAAUCCUAUCAAGUAUAAAACUACGGCAUUCGAAGAAAAUGUGAUGAAGACUUUGGGGUUCGCUGGAAUUACAGAAGUUGCAUUUUGGAGAUGGGAUAGGGUUUAUCCGAUGAAGAUGAACAUUAAAUAGACAAUGACCCAGACGUAAGCGAUACAAAACCGUAUAAAAUUUUCUGUUAUGGUGUUGGUUACCUCUGCAAAACCAAGGAAUACCAAUUGAAUUAUUAAUUUCAGCAUACCAUUUACCCUUUGUUUCAAUAGUUUGAUACCAAUGUUGUUUAAUGUUUUCUGUAAUUUCCUUCUUAAUACAGAUUAGAAGAUCAGAUUGUGGAGGCGAAAUCUGUUUAUUAGAAAAAGGUAUAGUUGAAGAGUUGUUUGUGAUGGAUUUGGCAAGGAAAUCAGCUUUUUCGUUACCUAUAACACCAAUAUGUGAAGGUGUCUAAAAAAAUACUAUAUUUUUUGAAAACGAUAAUUGAAAGUAUUUUUCUCGAAUUUCGUGAAUGAUGUAAUUUGUUUUAGAAUUGAGUCCAGGAUUAUCUAAAGCUUGUAAAACACUCAUGCUAUCAGUGACUAUAACCCAUUUAUUAGAGACUUGCUUUUGGAUAUAAUUCAGAGCUUCUAAUAUUGCCAAAGACUGCUGAGAAAAUACUGAAUUUUUCAGGUAACUUGUACCCUAAGCCUCUCUGCAGUCACAUCAUAGAAAGCAGUUGCCACUGCCUCACUGUUUUUUGCACCAUCAGUGUAGAUUUGUUGAUACCCUACAAAGUCUGAUAAACCAUUGAAGACUUCCUUUUUAUAUUUUAAUUUGUGGUGUAUGACUAUAUCUAUAAGGCAAAACUUACUUAAAUAAGAACCAUUAUAACAAGGUAAGAGUACACUAUUAUAAAUAUCAUAGUUAGCUUUGUAAUUAAGAAUUUUAUCAAUAUCUUGGACCAGAAAAGAACGAUGAUUUAAAUGAAGGGCAUGAAUUAAUUUUAAGAGCAAAGGGUGUCUGGUAUAGGAUAACAAGUUUAGAACAAACUUGUACUUGAGAUAUUUAAACCUCAGACUAAGUGGUGGUAUAUUUGCUUCAACCUGCAUAGAAAUGAUGGGUGUUGAAAUCAUGGCACCCAUGAUAACCCAUAAACAUCUAUUUUGGACUUUAUUUCGUUUUUCCACUAGUAAUGAUUUAUGAGCAUAACAAAAAUAUCCAUAUUCAAAAUGGCUCGGUACUAAACUUUUGUAAAGCGUUAAUAGCAUUUUUGGAUCGGAUCCCCAAUAUAUACCUGCUAAAGAUUUGAGUAUAUUAUAGGCUUUUAAAGCCCUAUUUGUUAGAUAGUCAAUAUAUUAAUCCCAGUUAAAAUUAGAUUGAAAAAUGACUCCUAAAAAUUUUGUGGUUUUAUCUUUUGGAAUUAAAUGAUUAUUAUAAUAAAUGUUGAUGGGCUUCGUUAGAAAUGCAUGAAAUGCAAUAACUUUGCUUUUAGCAGGACUGAUAUCCAAAUUAAGAAAGUUAAAAUAUGAAUUUAAGUUUUUAAGGGAAUUGUUAAGUACACUGACAGUGCUUUGUAUAUUAGUACUUGAAAAGUAAACCAGUAAAUCAUCAGCAAAUUGAAGAUUAGGAACUUCAGAGCCAAGUUCAAGAUUCAGUCUAUAUAUGUAUAAAACAAAGAGAAGAGGACUUAACAUUCCACCUUGACUUACACCUUUAUGCAAUUGGAGUGAACUUAAAAUGGAUGAAAGAAUAUGCAAAUUUACAUUGUUGAAGGCACCAAUUAUGUCAAGGAAAACAGCUACUAAGACUUUGUUGUUCUGAAAAGCAUUAUCAAUAUCCAAAUAUAAAUGGCUAAGACUCUCUCUGGCAGAGCGACCACGGCGAAAUCCAAACUGAUUGCUUGUGGGAAGAUGAUAUCCACCAAAAGGGGAAUCACAGACCUUCGGAUACCAUUGUCAAAUCAAGACCAUUUGGCCGCCAACUUUUUUGAGCCAACUGUAGUGGGACUUUCAUCAUUCAAAAGUGCCAAGUCAUUCUCCUCCAUGACAUCUAAGAUAUCUCUACCACGAGUUUCUGUGCUUCCACAACCCCAAAGAGUAUUAUGUGCAUUAAAAUCACCAGCUAUUAUCAUUGGACCAGGAAUGGACUUUAUUAAAUUAUUCAACUUUGAUUUUGUAAAACUUGGAGCGGAACGUGGAGGACUAUAGAAGCUUACUAUUGAUAUUAAUUUGUGGUUAAUUUGUAUUUGUAUAACAAUAUUUUGUAUUGAAUCAUCAUAUGAAGUAAUUACAUUUUGAAAAUGAAUACUAUUAUGAACUAUAACAGCCACACCAUUAUGAGCAUUACCACAGUCAUUUCUCAUAAUGGUAUAGCCUUUUAUACUAAGUUUCAUAGAAGGUUUUAACCAAGUCUCUGAAAUUAAAGCUAUGUGAAUUUGUUUAUCACUAAGAAAUUUCUUGAAAACAUUUUUAUUAUGCAUAAUGCUUUGAGCAUUCCACUGCAUAAUAUUUAGGGUGUUAAAAUUGAAUUUGAAGUGAAAAAAAAUGUUUUUCAGUAAAUUCUUAGUCAAUAAAAAAAAUACUUUGAGAGUCUGAUAUGUUAGGUGUUAUUGUUUUUUAAUGUUGCAUGUAAAAUAUCUGUAAUAUUUUGACUGUUGAUUGCCAUAUUUUCUGUUUUAUUUAAUGAUAUUAUUCUGAUUAACGAUUCUGAUUAACGAUUCUGUUAUCAAAUUAAUUACUUUCUUGUCUGAAAGUAAUUUAGAGAUAUCUAGUGGAUUUUUAUUUAAGCUGGGGAAAUUACUUUCAUUAAAUAAAGAUGAGUAAGGUCUUGAAAUAAAUUUGUUUUUAUUUUC